rnacentral:rRNA from 1 species
AACCGUCGCCCCAUAGUCUGGGAUACCACUUGGAAACAGGUGCUGAUACCGGAUAAGAAAGCGGAUCGCAUGAUCAGCUUUUAAAAGGCGGCGUAAGCUGUCGCUAUGGGAUGGCCCCGCGGUGCAUUAGCUAGUUGGUAAGGUAAAGGCUUACCAAGGCGAUGAUGCAUAGCCGAGUUGAGAGACUGAUCGGCCACAUUGGGACUGAGACACGGCCCAAACUCCUACGGGAGGCAGCAGUC